UUAAGCGACUAAGCGUACACGGUGGAUGCCCUGGCAGUCAGAGGCGAUGAAGGACGUGCUAAUCUGCGAAAAGCGUCGGUAAGGUGAUAUGAACCGUUAUAACCGGCGAUGUCCGAAUGGGGAAACCCAGUGCAAUUCGUUGCACUAUCGUUAACUGAAUACAUAGGUUAACGAGGCGAACCGGGGGAACUGAAACAUCUAAGUACCCCGAGGAAAAGAAAUCAACCGAGAUUCCCCCAGUAGCGGCGAGCGAACGGGGAGCAGCCCAGAGUCUGAAUCAGCUUGUGUGUUAGUGGAACGGUCUGGAAAGUCCGACGGUACAGGGUGAUAGUCCCGUACACCAAAAUGCACAGGUUGUGAACUCGAAGAGUAGGGCGGGACACGUGGUAUCCUGUCUGAAUAUGGGGGGACCAUCCUCCAAGGCUAAAUACUCCUGACUGACCGAUAGUGAACCAGUACCGUGAGGGAAAGGCGAAAAGAACCCCGGCGAGGGGAGUGAAAAAGAACCUGAAACCGUGUACGUACAAGCAGUGGGAGCACCUUCGGGUGUGACUGCGUACCUUUUGUAUAAUGGGUCAGCGACUUAUAUUCUGUAGCAAGGUUAACCGUAUAGGGGAGCCGCAGGGAAACCGAGUCUUAACUGGGCGUUAAGUUGCAGGGUAUAGACCCGAAACCCGGUGAUCUAGCCAUGGGCAGGUUGAAGGUUGGGUAACACUAACUGGAGGACCGAACCGACUAAUGUUGAAAAAUUAGCGGAUGACUUGUGGCUGGGGGUGAAAGGCCAAUCAAACCGGGAGAUAGCUGGUUCUCCCCGAAAGCUAUUUAGGUAGCGCCUCGUGAACUCAUCUUCGGGGGUAGAGCACUGUUUCGGCUAGGGGGUCAUCCCGACUUACCAACCCGAUGCAAACUACGAAUACCGAAGAAUGUUAUCACGGGAGACACACGGCGGGUGCUAACGUCCGUCGUGAAGAGGGAAACAACCCAGACCGCCAGCUAAGGUCCCAAAGUCAUGGUUAAGUGGGAAACGAUGUGGGAAGGCACAGACAGCCAGGAUGUUGGCUUAGAAGCAGCCAUCAUUUAAAGAAAGCGUAAUAGCUCACUGGUCGAGUCGGCCUGCGCGGAAGAUGUAACGGGGCUAAACCAUGCACCGAAGCUGCGGCAGCGACACUAUGUGUUGUUGGGUAGGGGAGCGUUCUGUAAGCCUGCGAAGGUGACCUGUGAGGGUUGCUGGAGGUAUCAGAAGUGCGAAUGCUGACAUAAGUAACGAUAAAGCGGGUGAAAAGCCCGCUCGCCGGAAGACCAAGGGUUCCUGUCCAACGUUAAUCGGGGCAGGGUGAGUCGACCCCUAAGGCGAGGCCGAAAGGCGUAGUCGAUGGGAAACAGGUUAAUAUUCCUGUACUUGGUGUUACUGCGAAGGGGGGACGGAGAAGGCUAUGUUAGCCGGGCGACGGUUGUCCCGGUUUAAGCAUGUAGGCUGGUUGUCCAGGCAAAUCCGGAUAAUCAAGGCUGAGGUGUGAUGACGAGGCACUACGGUGCUGAAGUAACAAAUGCCCUGCUUCCAGGAAAAGCCUCUAAGCAUCAGGUAACAUUAAAUCGUACCCCAAACCGACACAGGUGGUCAGGUAGAGAAUACCAAGGCGCUUGAGAGAACUCGGGUGAAGGAACUAGGCAAAAUGGUGCCGUAACUUCGGGAGAAGGCACGCUGGUGUGUAGGUGAAGUCCCUGCGGAUGGAGCUGAGACCAGUCGAAGAUACCAGCUGGCUGCAACUGUUUAUUAAAAACACAGCACUGUGCAAACACGAAAGUGGACGUAUACGGUGUGACGCCUGCCCGGUGCCGGAAGGUUAAUUGAUGGGGUUAUCCGUAAGGAGAAGCUCUUGAUCGAAGCCCCGGUAAACGGCGGCCGUAACUAUAACGGUCCUAAGGUAGCGAAAUUCCUUGUCGGGUAAGUUCCGACCUGCACGAAUGGCGUAAUGAUGGCCAGGCUGUCUCCACCCGAGACUCAGUGAAAUUGAACUCGCUGUGAAGAUGCAGUGUACCCGCGGCAAGACGGAAAGACCCCGUGAACCUUUACUAUAGCUUGACACUGAACAUUGAGCCUUGAUGUGUAGGAUAGGUGGGAGGCUUUGAAGCGUGGACGCCAGUCUGCGUGGAGCCAACCUUGAAAUACCACCCUUUAAUGUUUGAUGUUCUAACGUUGGCCCCUUACCGGGGUUGCGGACAGUGUCUGGUGGGUAGUUUGACUGGGGCGGUCUCCUCCCAAAGCGUAACGGAGGAGCACGAAGGUUAGCUAAUCCUGGUCGGACAUCAGGAGGUUAGUGCAAUGGCAUAAGCUAGCUUGACUGCGAGCGUGACGGCGCGAGCAGGUGCGAAAGCAGGUCAUAGUGAUCCGGUGGUUCUGAAUGGAAGGGCCAUCGCUCAACGGAUAAAAGGUACUCCGGGGAUAACAGGCUGAUACCGCCCAAGAGUUCAUAUCGACGGCGGUGUUUGGCACCUCGAUGUCGGCUCAUCACAUCCUGGGGCUGAAGUAGGUCCCAAGGGUAUGGCUGUUCGCCAUUUAAAGUGGUACGCGAGCUGGGUUUAGAACGUCGUGAGACAGUUCGGUCCCUAUCUGCCGUGGGCGCUGGAGAAUUGAGGGGGGCUGCUCCUAGUACGAGAGGACCGGAGUGGACGCAUCACUGGUGUUCGGGUUGUCAUGCCAAUGGCACUGCCCGGUAGCUAAAUGCGGAAGAGAUAAGUGCUGAAAGCAUCUAAGCACGAAACUUGCCCCGAGAUGAGUUCUCCCUGAGACUUUAAGUCUCCUGAAGGAACGUUAAAGACGAUGACGUUGAUAGGCCGGGUGUGUAAGCGCAGCGAUGCGUUGAGCUAACCGGUACUAAUGAACCGUGAGGCUUAACCUU
rnacentral:rRNA from 1 species